rnacentral:rRNA from 1 species
UCUUAGUGGCGGACGGGUGAGUAACGCGUGGGUAACCUGCCUUAUACAGGGGGAUAACACUUAGAAAUAGGUGCUAAUACCGCAUAAGCGCACGGGGCUGCAUGGCCCAGUGUGAAAAACUCCGGUGGUAUAAGAUGGACCCGCGUCUGAUUAGCUUGUUGGCGGGGUAACGGCCCACCAAGGCGACGAUCAGUAGCCGGCCUGAGAGGGUGGACGGCCACAUUGGGACUGAGACACGGCCCAAACUCCUACGGAAGGCAGCAG